ACAACAAAUCAAAGUUUUAUAGAUAGCUCUCACGGUUUCUCAUUUUCUCUCUUGUAGCUCAAAUCUCUCUCACAAAAGACUUAGAAAUUUCAAAGCCAAUUUCAUAGCUCUCAAAUCAUGGAAAUUUCAAAACUCUAGGUCAUGGCAAUCGCAUAGCUCUUGGUCUCAACGCGGUGGCUCUGUCUCAUCGUCACUCACAAAGUCGAACUCGAAGUCUUCCGUCAACUCCUCUGCUCUUCCCCUGCCUCAUCUAAUCUCCCCCAGUUUUCUAGGGUUUCAAGCUCAUGGACAGGAGUGUCAUGCUUUGAUUCAUUUGCUAUACGCCUGUAAUGCACUUAGCUAACCUAUUUUUCUAUUAACAAUGCCACAUUUUCAAAAAAACCCAAAACCUUACCCUUCCAUGUUCUACUGCCCUUUGUGCAGUAAAAUUCAAGGACUAAACCUAUUGGAGGCCAGCUUAAUAACCUGCAUCAUUUGAAACACCUAAAUAUGGCAUACAACUAUUUGAGACAAAAUAUUCCCCACUCUCUACCAGCCAUGAAAUGUCUCUAACAUUAGAAUCUAAACCACAAUUAGUUAUCUGGACCAAUUGACAAUGUCUUUACUGGCUUACAGAAUCCCAGAGAGAUGUACGUGUUCUUCACCCGAUCCUUAUAUUUCCUUUUCCCUAGCGUUUGAAGUGAAAAGAAAAUAAUGCAAAGUACAAUAUUCCAUGAAAUACAAAGAGGAUGUUGUUGAUGCUAGUAGAACCUUGAGAAGGUGUGAAGUUGGUGAUGAUCUUGAUGAAGGUAUGUAGCAAAUUAUGCAGCAAACAAGAACUCUCCAAAUACCUUUUAGUGUACAAGGAUUGGCUAUUGUAAAUACUUUUUAAAUGUACUAUUCAAAACAGGUUUUGUGUAGCAAGUAGUGAUUUAUGUUUCAAAUUUAAAAAUGUAAAGGGCAAUAGACAGAGUAGUUGAGUUAUGUUGAUUUGUACAAUUUGUUUUAUUGUGUUAAAAGAGUAGUUGAUUGGCUGUUGUAAUUCAA